UCUGUGAAAUUGGUUCUUCAAAUCCCCAAACCCUCUACAAAAUUCUUAAUCUUAAAUUUUAUGGUACAAACUGCUACUAACCUAUAUGUAUAUCCUCUUGUUUCGAAAAUGAUAGCCUGUGAAACCUAGUAAUCGAACUCCAUUUGUUCAGUGGCAGAGGAUUUAGGCAUGAAAACUACAAAAGAGAUGAUGGGCUUGAGCUUGGCAGGAACUUUGACGGAAAGACAUCUAAACUUGUGGAGUCCUGCGAGAAGUCUAUUGUGCAAAGCUGCUCAUCACUAGCCUGAUGGCAAUUGCAGAAAGGUUGAGGAAAAAUGUUAAGGAAAGGUAUUUAUAGUGAAGGUGAUGAUGUUACAAAACAAUAGACUCUCAACAUAUUGCAGCUUAACAUAGAUAGCUCCCUGCAAUAUCCCUCAUAUUUCAGGUAAUAAUUUUUCAUAAAAGAAAGUUAUAUGAAUUUUAUGUUUUUGUCAUAUGAUAUCUCAUAUAUGUAGGAAUCAAUUAUGAUGAUUAACUUGAUCGAGAAACAUAAUGAGAAGUUCUCUUUUUGAACAAAUUGCUUUAGAUAACAAGUAUAUUAGCUACUGGGGUAAUUAUUAAUUUCAAAUGUUAUUUUAAAAGUUAUGCAUGCACUAAUUUUGAAUAGACAUCAAUGUCCUGUUUAUACUACGUCAUUAUAAUAGAUUUUCGUUCUACCAAUUGUAUUAUGACAGUGUCAUUUGAUCUCGGUGUGUUUUGUGAGGAGAUAUUUACACUACAACUUGAUUGAUUGAAAGAACUUUGUGUCACCUUUCAAUGGAGCUAUAGUUAAAUUAUAUGAUGAAGGAGAAUGACUAAGUGAAAAUAUUUCUCGUGUAUGUUAGAUAACUUAAGUGUAUCAUAAUAUUCAGAGGCCACAUACAACUGUUGAAGAAGAGGAAACUUGUCCACUAAUUAAAAAAAGAAGAGAAAGUUGUAGCUAGAAAAUUAGGGGAAUCAUUUGAUGAUGACUAAUGUAAAAUGUAAUUGGAAUAAACUAUAUUUUGUUUCUUGGUGGACAGAUAAUUUUUCUAACCAUCUUGAAGGCUCUAUUGAUUAUUGCUUAUGAUUAUUUGUCACUGUCUUGAAUUGUAAAACGUAACUGGCAUAAAUUUUUGUUGUUUAUGCUAAGUUCUGUCUUGAAAACUCCUUCAUUACAUACACACUCUUUCUCUAUCUCAUCGAUACACUAAUUCAUUAUUAUUUGUAUUCUUGCGGCCUCUUUUACACUGAUGUGUUACUUUGAAGUGUGUGGUUGUACAUGUAGAGAUUUUUCAGAAAAACUAUACUUGAAGAAUUUGAGGUUCUUUGCUCAAGUUUUGACUUUUGAAGAUAUAGGUUUUGAAGACCCACGUACAGGCUAUACAAAGCUGAUUAUCGUCUUUGCUAAGAUUUUUGGGAAAAACAUUACAAUACAUAAUAGGGAUGUUAGGUUUGGGAUUGUAUAAACACUGUUAUGGAUAUGCUAUGUGUAUGUGAUAGUUGGUAUGCAACAUU